UACGUAGGGUGCGAGCGUUAAUCGGAAUUACUGGGCGUAAAGUGUGCGCAGGCGGUCGAGCAAGUCGAGUGUGAAAGCCCCGAGCUUAACUUGGGAACUGCGCUCGAAACUACUUGGCUAGAGUGUGGCAGAGGGAGGUGGAAUUCCACGUGCAGCAGUGAAAUGCGUAGAGAUGCGGAGGAACACCGAUGGCGAAGGCAGCCCCCUGGGCUAGCACUGACGCUCAGGCACGAAAGCGUGGGGAGCAAACAGG
rnacentral:rRNA from 1 species